GCAUGUGUGAGCAGUCUGGCUAACUGCAUCUGUCACCCCACUGAUCUCUGGGACUGAUUCAGCUGAUCUGGACAGCUAGUAGGUGCCCCUGCUUGUCCUCCCUCACCACUCCAUGUGCUUCCCACCUGAAGCUAUGCACACGGCUGAAUGGAAGGACCUUCCCCAAACAGAGGAGAAGCAAUCUUUGGUCAGGGGUAUACAAGAGCUGUACUCUCCCACUAGAGCCUCAAAAAGGGUUCUCAAAUGUCUUAAAUGUGAUUUAUAGCUUCAUUUUCUAAAAACAACAAAUAAGCAUAAGCCACCUUUCUU
ensembl:misc_RNA 7SK 7SK RNA